rnacentral:sRNA from 1 species
AAACCAACGAAAGGAGGUGAUCCAGUGUCUUAUCUCAAGCGCUGUCACCUCGCUGGGAUCGCCCGCUAAGCUCUAGACCAACGGCUUGGCAUCGGGGCGCUCUCAGCCCUGGACCAGCGAGCAAGAAUUGGGCGCGACGGGGUUCUCCCCGCCGCGCC